GCCGACGUAGCUCAAUCGGUAGAGCAGUCGCUUUGUAAGCGACAGGUCAUGGGUUCGAGUCCCAUCGUCGGCU
rnacentral:tRNA from 1 species